UCUCGAUUGGUCUAGUGGUAAGGAUACCUGCUUGUCAAUGAACAGUGCGCAGGUGGCCGGGGUUCGAUUCCCCGAUCGAGAG
rnacentral:tRNA from 1 species